AUACGUAGGUGGCGAGCGUUGUCCGGAAUUACUGGGUGUAAAGGGCGUGUAGGCGGGGAUGCAAGUCAGACGUGAAAUACUAAGGCUUAACCUUGGGGCUGCAUCUGAAACUGUGUUUCUUGAGUGUCGGAGAGGAAAGCGGAAUUCCCAGUGUAGCGGUGAAAUGCGUAGAGAUUGGGAGGAACACCAGUGGCGAAGGCGGCUUUCUGGACGACAACUGACGCUGAGGCGCGAAAGCGUGGGGAGCAAACAGGAUUAGAUACCCUGGUAGUCCACGCCGUAAACGAUGGAUACUAGGUGUAGGAGGUAUCGACCCCUUCUGUGCCGGAGUUAACACAAUAAGUAUCCCACCUGGGGAGUACGGCCGCAAGGUUGAA
rnacentral:rRNA from 1 species